rnacentral:rRNA from 1 species
GACGUAGGGGGCAAGCGUUAUUCGGAAUUAUUGGGCGUAAAGCGCUCGUAGGCGGGACUGGAAGUCCGUGUUGAAAGACCUCGGCUCAACUGAGGGACCGGCUCGGAUACUCUAGUUCUUGAGGCAAUCAGAGGGUGAUGGAAUUCCCGUGUAGCGGUGAAAUGCGUAGAUAUCGGGAGGAACACCAGUGGCGAAGGCGAUCACCUGGGGUUGUUCUGACGCUGAGGAGCGAAAGCUAGGGGAGCAAACGGG